rnacentral:rRNA from 1 species
GACGAACGCUGGCGGCGUGCUUAACACAUGCAAGUCGAGCGGUAAGGCCCUUUCGGGGGUACGACGAGCGGCGAACGGGUAGAGUAACACGUGGGUGACCUCGCCCUCCAGCUCUGGGAGUAAGCCUGGGAAACGUAGGGUCGUAAUACUGGAUAUGACUCCACGGUGCAUGUCGUGGGGUGGGAAAGCCUUGUGCGGCUGAGGAUGGGCCCGCGG